rnacentral:lncRNA from 1 species
AAACAGUACAAUCAAAACAUUAAAAAUGUUGCACACAGGCAGUCCUCCGCGCUUUGCAGCCGACUGAUUGAAAAUUAAAGUUAUUAAAAGAAAGAUCCACUUCCUAAAGCAAGGGCCUCCUGUUUGUUCAGGCUGAGAUCUCUCACAAUGUGUCAUCAUUGUGUGCUUGUGCCAUAAUCCGACGUGUUCGA